UGUGGUUUCUAAACAACAGAAAAUCAUUUUUCAGCUCUGGAGGCUGGGAAGUCCAAUAUGAAGGCUCUGGCAGACUCGUGACAAAGAUCUCCCAGCUCAUCAAUGGCACGGCACGUCCUUGUUAAUGAUCACAAGAUGAAAAGGGCAUCAGGCUACUUUGUAACGACUGGAAAUAUCAUCGAGGAAGUCUGUGCUGUGUUGUUAAUGACAAAGAUGACAAGAAUGCUGGGAGAUGACAUAGACACUUUGAAAAACAGAUGCCGUCUCAAGAAACCCUGAGCACACCGAUUUCUACCUUUUGAGACUUUUCCAAAAGGAACCAAACAUCUUGUAGAACCAUCUGAAUUCGGCUGGAAGACCAAGAGCUGCAGGGUUGACAGAUAGGAAACCUCCACUGUCAAGUGUUGUGGAAUGUUACUUUAAGAUGUAUUAUAUUCAUUUAUGCUGUGGAAUACGUGUUUAAUGAUGCAAAGAUGUAGUACAUUCUUUUAUGUUGCAUUUUUUUAACUCUGUAAUGCCAUGUUAC